UCCGAGUUGACCCCGGCAGUCUCCUAUGAGUCCCCGACACCCGAAGGCUCGCUGGCAACAUAGGACGAGGGUUGCGCUCGUUGCGCCACUUAAGGCAACACCUCACGGCACGAGCUGACGACAGCCAUGCACCACCUGUGAAGGUGCCCCGAAGGGAGGCCGUGUUUCCACGGCUGUCACCUACAUGUCAAGCCCAGGUAAGGUUCUUCGCGUUGCGUCGAAUUAAACCACAUGCUCCACCGCUUGUGCGGGCCCCCGUCAAUUCCUUUGAGUUUCAGCCUUGCGGCCGUACUCCCCAGGCGGGGCACUUAAUGCGUUAGCUUCGACACCGAAGGGGUCAAUCCCCCCGGCAUCUAGUGCCCAUCGUUUACGGCGUGGACUAC
rnacentral:misc_RNA from 1 species